GAGUUUGAUCCUGGCUCAGGAUGAACGCUGGCGGCGUGCCUAAUACAUGCAAGUCGAGCGAACUGAUUAGAAGCUUGCUUCUAUGACGUUAGCGGCGGACGGGUGAGUAACACGUGGGCAACCUGCCUGUAAGACUGGGAUAACUUCGGGAAACCGAAGCUAAUACCGGAUAGGACCUUCUCCUUCAUGGGAGAUGAUUGAAAGAUGGUUUCGGCUAUCACUUACAGAUGGGCCCGCGGUGCAUUAGCUAGUUGGUGAGGUAACGGCUCACCAAGGCAACGAUGCAUAGCCGACCUGAGAGGGUGAUCGGCCACACUGGGACUGAGACACGGCCCAGACUCCUACGGGAGGCAGCAGGAGGGAAUCUUCCGCAAUGGACGAAAGUCUGACGGAGCCACG
rnacentral:rRNA from 1 species